CCCAGACUCCUACGGGAGGCAGCAGUGAGGAAUAUUGGUCAAUGGGCUUACGCCUGAACCAGCCAAGUCGCGUGAGGGAAGACUGCCCUAUGGGUUGUAAACCUCUUUUGUCAGGGAGCAACGCCGGCUACGUGUAGCCGGACUGAGAGUACCUGAAGAAAAAGCAUCGGCUAACUCCGUGCCAGCAGCCGCGGUAAUACGGAGGAUGCGAGCGUUAUCCGGAUUUAUUGGGUUUAAAGGGUGCGUAGGCGGGUUAUAAAGUCAGCGGUAAAAUCGUGGGGCUCAACUCCAUCCAGCCGUUGAAACUGAUGAGCUUGAGUGGGCGAGAAGUAUGCGGAAUGCGUGGUGUAGCGGUGAAAUGCAUAGAUAUCACGCAGAACUCCGAUUGCGAAGGCAGCAUACCGGCGCCCAACUGACGCUGAAGCGCGAAAGCGUGGGUAUCGAACAGGAUUAGAUACCCCGGUA
rnacentral:rRNA from 1 species